rnacentral:tRNA from 1 species
GAUAUGUGCCCGAAAGUUAGGGAACACUUUGAUAGAGUGUAUUAUAAGAGUUCAAACCCCUUCAUGUCU